rnacentral:rRNA from 1 species
UACGGAGGGGGCAAGCGUUGUUCGGAGUUACUGGGCGUAAAGCGAGCGCAGACGGUUGAUUAAGUCUGAUGUGAAAGCCCGGAGCUCAACUCCGGAAUGGCAUUGGAAACUGGUUAACUUGAGUGUUGUAGAGGUAAGUGGAACUCCAUGUGUAGCGGUGGAAUGCGUAGAUAUAUGGAAGAACACCAGUGGCGAAGGCGGCUUACUGGACAACAACUGACGUUGAGGCUCGAAAGUGUGGGUAGCAAACAGG